GCCCCCGUGGUGGAAUCGGUAGACACAGCGGCCUUAAAAGCUGAUGCCCUCGGGCGUACGGGUUCGAGUCCCGUCGGGGGCACCC
rnacentral:tRNA from 1 species